UGGGGAAUCUUCCGCAAUGGACGAAAGUCUGACGGAGCAACGCCGCGUGAGUGAAGAAGGCCUUCGGGUUGUAAAGCUCUGUUAUUCGGGAAGAACGAUUCGUUUGUGAACAAUGAACGGAAGUGACGGUACCGAAAGAGAAAGCCACGGCUAACUACGUGCCAGCAGCCGCGGUAAUACGUAGGUGGCAAGCGUUGUCCGGAAUUAUUGGGCGUAAAGAGCGCGUAGGCGGUAUGAUAAGUCUGUCUUAGAAGUGCGGGGCUUAACCCCGUGAGGGGACAGAGACUGUCAUACUAGAGUCUCGGAGAGGAAAGCGGAAUUCCUAGUGUAGCGGUGAAAGGCGUAGAGAUUAGGAAGAACACCGGUGGCGAAGGCGGCUUUCUGGACGAGCACUGACGCUGAGGCGCGAAAGCGUGGGGAGCGAACAGG
rnacentral:rRNA from 1 species